UGCUGUGACUGCGAAGAUAAUGAAAGCCGUCUUGUGUUGUGGGGUAGAAAGCAUUUCAAAGGCAGGGCCCGACUCAGGGUUACAGUGCUGAAAACCCUGUGUGUUUGUUUUGUGUGGAGUGCCAAGCCAGGCAUCCACAGUCUACCAUCUUUGGGGUGAAAUGGUGAAGACGAGUUCCAGGUAGUGCGAAUAGCCCCGGCUUUAAUGUUUCUACCUUCUCUCUAUAGGCGGCCCUUGUGUCAUGCUCAAUCCGCCACAGAAGAAGUGGGAGUGGAGCAGGGGUUCUCUUAUUCUGCUUGGUAUGAUGAGGAGCUUUCACUGAAGACUGGAGUUCCCCGGUUGUUUUUCCUUCAGUCGCCAGGCAAUGGAAUACCUCUCAGAAGAAGUGGUGAAAAGAAAGGGGUUGAACGAUCCCUUCCCUCUGGCUACCCUAGAGGAUUCAGGAGCCCUGGAAAAACAUGGCAGCUGGAGCAGAGCAGGGAGUGGAUCAGUCACACAGGUACAGCAGCCAUGGGGUAGCUAGCAAAGGACCAGCGUUCAGCGAGGAGCAUGAGCGGCAGUACGCUGAAGUAGGAGCACUGGCUCUUGUAAAAACUCUGCGGACUAGGGGGCUAGUAAAGAGGGAGAGAUGCCCAGAGAGCAUACAGCUGUUUCGGUCGAGCGAGAGAGAGUUCUCCGGCGGCUGAAGAGUGGUUCUUGAAUCGGACAGAUGAUGUUCCAUCCUCUUUUCUGCCAAUCACCCAAAGAUGAGGACAACACCCAAACUGGCACGAGCUAUGCGCCUAAGGAUUACGAAGGACUAUCGUGCAAAGUUUGUUGCCUGUAAACCAAUGCUUUGAGGUGAAGAUUAUUCGCCCAAAAUGUUCAAGAUUCUCACGAAGGAUAACAGCACUGUAUAAGAAGAGGACCCAAUGGUUCCAAAAGGCCUGGUUUUGCUCUACCGCCGUCCGCCCAGUCUGCCGCAGCUAUUUGGACAGCAACAGGUGAAAAGGUGAGAGGAGAUUGCUGAAAUCCAUAUGACAAAGACGACACGUCUGCCCAGGAGAUGGAUACCUCACCAGAUAUGUUUUCCCUGCCAUGGUUGUGAUAAUUGGAUUUUCUGGACACCUGUAUGAGUGCAGUAUAUCCAGCGGAUUAUAACCAGGGAAAGGGAUAGGCUGCCCUACCGGCCAGGCCCAGCCAGCAGGAACUUCCCAUGGUCACCUCCGCUCUGCUCCGAGGGACUGAGAAUCCUAAUGAGCUGGAGGGGUCCACAUUUACCACGGCUGAUUAACUGAGAACAAUGAGGCCAAACAGAACUCACAGGCACUCACAGGCACUCACAAUAGUGACUAGAGAGCCUCAAGGCGUUGUCUCUGUAUUUUUUUGAGGGGAGAGAAAAUGAGAGAGUGAGCGAAAUAGGAGAAUGGAGGGGGGGAAAGUGAACAAGACUGUAGUUUUGUAAUGCUUUGUUUUAUUUGUUUAGAGGAAAUAAGCGAUACUUUGAAUACUUAUUGUCACUAUAAAAUAUCCACGAGACCAUAUAUGUCCAUAGGCAGCACAUUGUAUUAGUUCCUGUUAAAAAGGUGGGGUAUAAAGUUGGAGUUUGGACUACAGCUUAUGUAAUGAUGUUUAAAUUAUAUUUAUAGCAUGCUAAAAAAGCAGUUGCAUCAUUAGUCAUUUCCUCAUGCAAAUGAAGCCUAGCUAUUUGCCUAUAUAGGCCUGCUAUGUGCAGUGAGACCUAGCUACAUCCCCUCACAGGGGCCUAGUGAAUGAGGGUUGUUCUGACAGCUAGUGAGUGUCAUUUAAACCCAGCCAACCUCCACCGAUUACCAUCUACACAUUUAUGGAGAAUAUGAGCAUUAUAUGGUACCAUUUCAAUUAAUAACCCCUUUUUCACUGACUGAAUGCUUUGUAAUCCCGACUAUGCAAUUAGUUUAGAAUGGCUAAGAGAUCAACUUCAUUAGCAUUUUUUGUACUGAAGGUGCCGGCUUGGGCCAAAUGUUCGUUCUCAGUGGAAAGCGUAUCUCUUUGGAAAAGCUGUUCUAAAUUAGUUUCUGUAUCAGUUAAAGACUAUUUCCUCUCUGCUUUAAACUUGGGUGUGAUAGAGGAACCUCUGGAAUAUUUAUGGAGGGGAAAAUAAAUCCAGAAAGACAAUUUUGCCAUUUGGUUACAUGUUCUGCCUUCCCUUCUUGUGUUUUUCCAAUUACUUAAUGCUAUUUAAAUAUAGCAGAGCCGACACAUGCAGUUCACUGUAGUGGGGCCUGAAAUAAGUCACGCUUUAAUUGUAUUUCAUAAAUGAUAAUAGGAGCCCAUCACAGUAAGCUAGCUGUAAUAAAAUGAUAAAAUGGACAAUUAUGAAAAAAUCCAGGCCCUUAAUUUUCUAAACACACUCCAGAGAGCGUCUUUAAGCCGGGCAUAUUUGACUAGAUGCUGAACAGUAUUCCCCUCUGUGAGGGCUGCUGAAGUGCUGUGAAUUACAGUAGAAGUGUUUUGUAUGUUGUACAGUAACGUGUAGUACUACAAACUGUAGUGCCACUUCAUGAAAUACUAUUUAUCCAAUUGUCUGCAGGGAAAGGUUUAUAUUCAUUAUAUUCCCUUAUGUAUAUAAGGCCAACUCAAAUAAUGUCUGGCAGAAUAAACCAUACAGUACAAUAUGUGUGCUGAAGGCAGGCCUGAAUGUAGACACAACCAGGGUCUGUAAAUCAGUCAUUUCCCCAUCAUUGCAGGAAGGAUAUGGCUGGUUUGUGCAUUGGUGUUUGUGGUCCCCUGUCAGCCAGUGGGUCAGACAGAGAUAACACCUCUCUCUUUAAGAGGCUCUCAAAUUCCCAAUCAGUGUUUGACUUGGGAGACAGGUGAUUACUCACACCUGGGUACCUGGCCUCUUUAUGCACCUGGACUCCACCCCACCCUGUGCCAAGCAUGAUCCAUCGGUGAGGCAGCAUGUGCCAUGUGAUGACACGCCACCUUCUGGUGGGGUGGGGCAAACCCGCUGCUUGCUGUCCCGAUCAAUCAAUUAAAUAUUUUUAAUAAGAACAAAUUCUUAUUUUCAAUGACAGGCUAGGAACAGUGGGUUAACUGCCUUGUUCAGGGGCAGAACGACAGAUUUUUACCUUGUCAGCUCAGGGAUUCGAUCUUGCAACCUUUCGGUCCAACGCUC